GGUGCCAGCAGCCGCGGUAAUUCCAGCUCCAAUAGCGUAUAUUAAAGUUGUUGCAGUUAAAAAGCUCGUAGUUGGAUUUCUGUUAAUACCUUAUAUAUAAUAUUUUUUUUUAAAUAUUAUUAUGUAAGAUUAACAUAAUUCAUAUUUUUUAAGACUGAAUUUUUAGUUUUGAUAAUAUGAAAUUUUACUUUGAGAAAAUUAGAGUGCUUAAAGCAGGCUUUUGCCUUGAAUACUCCAGCAUGGAAUAAUAAUAAAAGAUUUUUAUCUUUUUUUUAUUGGUUCUAAGAUAAAAAUAAUGAUUAAUAGGGACAGUUGGGGGCAUUUGUAUUUAACAGUCAGAGGUGAUAUUCUUAGAUUUGUUAAAGACAAACUAAUGCGAAAGCAUUUGCCAAGGAUGUUUUCAUUAAUCAAGAACGAAAGUUAGGGGAUCGAAGACGAUCAGAUACCGUCGUAGUCUUAACCAUAAACUAU
rnacentral:rRNA from 1 species